rnacentral:rRNA from 2 species
CUCAACUUGAGAGUUUGAUCCUGGCUCAGAACGAACGCUGGCGGCAGGCUUAACACAUGCAAGUCGAACGCCCCGCAAGGGAGUGGCAGACGGGUGAGUAACGCGUGGGAACAUACCCUUUCCUGCGGAAUAGCUCCGGGAAACUGGAAUUAAUACCGCAUACGCCCUACGGGGGAAAGAUUUAUCGGGGAAGGAUUGGCCCGCGUUGGAUUAGCUAGUUGGUGGGGUAAAGGCCUACCAAGGCGACGAUCCAUAGCUGGUCUGAGAGGAUGAUCAGCCACAUUGGGACUGAGACACGGCCCAAACUCCUACGGGAGGCAGCAGUGGGGAAUAUUGGACAAUGGGCGCAAGCCUGAUCCAGCCAUGCCGCGUGAGUGAUGAAGGCCUUAGGGUUGUAAAGCUCUUUCACCGAUGAAGAUAAUGACGGUAGUCGGAGAAGAAGCCCGGCUAACUUCGUGCCAGCAGCCGC